UACGGAGGUGGCAAGCGUUGCUCGGAAUCACUGGGCGUAAAGGGCGCGUAGGCGGGAUGGCAAGUCGGUCGUGAAAUCCUUCGGCUCAACCGAAGAACGUCGAUCGAUACUGCUGUUCUUGAGGGUUGCAGAGGAGACUGGAAUUCCCGGUGUAGCGGUGAAAUGUGUAGAGAUCGGGAGGAACACCGGUGGCGAAGGCGGGUCUCUGGGCAAUUCCUGACGCUGAGGCGCGAAAGCGUGGGGAGCAAACGGG
rnacentral:rRNA from 1 species